CAAGAUCUGGGUUAUAUCUUGCAGAAGAUUCUUCUAGAGAAAAAGAAAAUCGAGAGGCUAACAGUAACUUUGCACUCAAUUGAUUCUCAGCCGUCAAACAAACACGUAUACUAUGCUGAAGACAGGGAAGAGUGUUAAAUUACCACCUUUUGAGGACCUGUCUGAUAAAAUUAAAAGGUAAAGUAACCUGUUAGGUUGCUUGUAUAUGUAUAUAUUUGUAUAAUAAAGAUGUUAUUUGAAUCGAACAAAUGUUGAU